AUAUCAAUAAGCGGAGGAAAAGAAACCAACAGGGAUUGCCUCAGUAACGGCGAGUGAAGCGGGCACAGCUCAGCCUGAAAAUCUCAACUCCACGCGGGGUUGCGAAUUGUGGGGUGACGACGUCUGAUCAGUGUGUGACCCGGGUAGAAAUCUUUUGAAAAAAGGUAUCAGAGAGGGUGACAAUCCCGUUCCUGACCCGGAGUUCGCCGCGUACGAUCGGCGUUCAUAGAGUCGAGUUGUUUGGGAGUGCAGCUCUAAAUGGGUGGUAAAUUUCAUCUAAAGCUAAAUACCGACGAGAGACCGAUAGCGAACAAGUAUCGUGAGGGAAAGAUGAAAAGAACUUUGAAAAGAGAGUUAAAAAGUACUUGAAAUUGCUAAGAGGGAAGCACUGGAAACCAGUCGUUUUGCUGGCGUGUACUCUAUCUUUCGUAGUCUGCGGCUGGCCGUGUGUAGUGCCCAAAGCCUACUGCGGUUAGCCAAGGGUGGCGGAGGUGCACCGUACUGUUGGCUUGAUCAGAGUCUAUUGGUUGGGUGCGAGAAAGCUAUGGCAUCGGUAGGUCUAAGGGGGCAACUUCGAGGACCGAAGGGCUGUAGUGCUAACAUCCUUCCGAUAGA
rnacentral:rRNA from 1 species